AGUAAGCAGCACCCUCCAUGGCUCUGCCUCAGCUCCUGCCUCCAGGUUCUUGCCCUGCUUGAGUUUCUGUCCUCAUUGUUUUUGAUGAACUCUUAUAUGGAACUGAGAGCGAAAUAAACCCUUUUCUCACACACAUGCCCUCCAAUGAUGUUUGGACCAGCUGAGCUGGCCUGAGCAUUCAACAGAAUGUUGUGAUUUUAGUGCAAUACUGUCAGAAAAAUUUAGAAUCUGGAUGUCUGAAGUAUUAUGAAUAUUUGGAUCCAAAUAUGUGAACCAAUAGAGAGACUGGGAAAAAUGACAAUCCCAUUAAGUGUUCCUUAGGAAAGCAUACCACAAAGACGAUGACUCCAUCAGGGAAUGUAUCACAUCCCACAUACGUGACAAAAAUAAGUAAUACCUGGUGUGUUUUACUUAACAACAAAACACUGAAUUCCCUGCAUCCUUUGUCCAUAUCAAUGCUGCAACAUAGCUGGAUGAGCUGAAAAUCUCACAAAAGAAAAAUGAAACCCACACUUGAACAUGUAUUUCAUUUUACUUCUCCCACCGAGAGCUACAGCAAAUGCCAAGUUCACUGGAGCCCUUUCUUGGCAGGAAAGAAAGUUGGCUCACUCAUAACUCAAUCCAAAAUUUUCACUCAAACUUAACCAUAACUCUGUGAAUUGGUGUAUUCCUUCCUCUUUUGUUUUUCUCCUGUAUCUCAUCUUCGUCAUUUGGGCCAUCUUUUAAGUUGUGUCGAGAUGUGAAGGAAGCAUGCUUGAAGUCAAACACAGGGCUGUACACACCUUGCCAGCGCCCUACAUGCCAAGCCACAUCCCUAGCGUCCUGGGUUUUGUUACCAGGUAAUGUACUCAGUUUUUGAGAAAUUGGUACAUUUUUAGUUGUUAAAAAAAAUGAAGAGUUUUAGAUUAUCUGAAAUCUUUUCAUAUAAAUGACAGUGUGACCAUGUGGUAGCAUGUAAUAUAAAGGCAGACCAAGGGUGCUCAUGUAGUCCCAGCUUCCUGAAAGGCUGAUACAGAAGAACUGUAAGGUCAACAGUAACAGGGGCUACCCAGAAAGUUUCAGGCCUGCCUAAGCUAUAUAAAAUGAAAUAAACUAGCAGUAAUACUCAUAAAAGCAAUGAGCAUCAAGAACUCCCUGCCACUCGCCGAGCAGCCAAAGGCUUAUGCUGGGCAUCCUAAGUCUUUGUAAAGUUGGCACUGAGCCCGUGACCUUCGCAUAUUCACGACAUGUUCUACCAGUGAGACACCCAUAGCCUCACAGUUAUUUUUUAUGAUGAUUUUUUUUCUGGAUAGUAUUUUCAACCUGAUUACACCGUCUUAGACUUUGAGAAAGAACAAAGAACUCUGCCACAAAAUCAAGAAAGUGAAGAAUCCACAGUGUUGAAAAAGCUGAAACACUCAAGUAGAGGACACAGUCCCUGAAAUUACGUAGAGCAUUCCUGAAAUGUAGAAAACAUCCAAACACAAAAGCCGUUUGUAACUUCAAAUACCUCUCCAUGGCAUGCAGUCCAUAUGUCAGGAGUACAAAGCAAAAAAUAAUAUUAAAAGUUGUUAGGGAAAAUGUCAUUUGCAAAGACAAAUACGUCAGAAUAACAUCAGUUCUCUUAUUAGCAAAUCUUAAAAUCCAGGGAAGAAAAGAAUAAUGUGUUUCCUUUUUAAAAAGUGUGUGUGCAUGAACAUAGUGCCUGCGGAGACCACAGGCAUCAGGUCUCCUGGAAGUAUGGCAAUUGUGCGUUGCCUGUAGAACUCUGCAAGACCAAUACAUGCUCUUAACCACCAAGCCAUCUUUCUAACCCCUGGAAUAAUGUAUUACAAAUUUUGAAAAUAAGUAUCGGCCAACCAAGACAGCUAUAUCCAGGAAAGUUAGUAGUUAACAGGAGACAGAAAUAGGGCAUGUCAAGACAAGCAGAGAGUAAGGUGUCCGUGACCAUUAUGACCACACAGCCAGCACUGCAGAAGACGCUUGUGCUGUCAGGAAGCAGGGCAACAUCAAUCAUGAGGGCACAGGAAGAGUACACUGCACGACAGGAAUGGUGACAGAGGGUGAGCAAAGACCUUACCAUGACUGACAGAUACUAUGCCAGGAAACCUUUAUAAUAUUGAUGAAGAGGGAAAUGGAGCAAACACCUGAACCAGCCUCCACACCAAACAUAACAAAAGGACAAGAGGAAAAAAAGGACAAAAUAGGUUGAAAAACAAGAUCUACUGUUGUCCCCAAGAAAUGAGUCCAUUGGUAAAAAUGGCUACAGACCAAGUUGGCUGAUGGAGUGAAGAUGACCAAGCCAGUCAAACAGGCACAAUCAUAGUGGAAUAAAACUGGAAAUCAUUAGCAAGAGAAACCCAGAAACUACAUAAAUACUCAGAGACCAAGAAGUGAUGCACAGUGUGACCGUUGAAGUCAUAGAAGAAACCAACAAGCCUUGGAGUCAAAUAAAACAGAAGCACAAUUCAACAGAACUUUGGAGAGCCACCAAGACAGUUCAAAGAAGGAAGUUUGUAGUUAUGAUUGCUUAGAUUAAAAAUUCAGAGAAAUAUCAAGUAAGUAACUAAAGGUAUGCCCCAGGGUCUCGGAAAGACAAAAACAGCUGGGCUUGCUGGUUUAUUCCUGCUAUCCCAGCAGUUAUGAGACGAAGCCAGGAGAACAGGACUUAGGGGUUGGUCUCAGACACAGUGUGAUUUCAAGCCAUCCUAGGUACAUAUAACUGUGUCAAAAUCAAAAAGAUAAUCAAAACAAAACAACACCAAAGUAUGAGGCAAUAAAAUAUAAUAAAGAUCAGGCCAGAAAAGAAAGAAUGGAAACUAAAACAUCAUAUGAAGUCAAGAGUUGGUCCCUUGAAAGACAAAGCAAGGCUGAGAAACCCCUAGUCACUCUACCCAAGUUUUAUAAAUUUAGAAACAAAAGGGGAUGUGUGAAAUGUCACUUUUCUUUUCCUGGCAUAAUUGUUGACUUACAGAGGCUUACUGUCUUCAUCUGCUAACCUAGACCUAAUCCUGGAAGCUCCUAGCCUCCGUAUAAUCUCAUCUAGGCCUAGCAUGCUUUCAGCCUCUGAGACUUACUAUUGAAUAAGCUCACCCUUUCCUAGUUCUUUCAGAUCUCUGGAUAACUCAUUCAACUCAGCUGUGCUGGCUCAAACUCCUCUCCAAGCUGACUGAUUCAAUCUGGCUUGUCUCUUUCGGUCCCUCCUGAAUUGCUCUACUUGGCUUCACACUAACUCUGGCAGUCUCUUCUAAUCUGGGUCCUUCUCAUUCUCUGCCUCGUUCUGUCUUCAUCUGUGUCUAACUUGUUCUCUCUUCAACAUGUCUCUGUAAAACUCCCCUGGUAAAACUGCUCUGAUUCUCUCUGCACUGCGCUCAUAAGUAGCUCCCUUUCUUCUCUCUCUCCUCAUGAGAGUUGGGCAUAUCCUCUUCUGUCAAAUCUUUCUCUAAUUGUCACUUUGUCUGCCACUCAAUUAGACAUCACUUUCAAACAUGGGUGCUUCCUUCUACAAACUAACUUUACUUUUAUUGUUUGGGAUUAAAAGGGAAUACUAAGGAUACAUCUGUUUUCCUGUGUGUGCGUGUGUGUGUGUGUGUGUGUGUGUGUGUGUGUGUGAGAGAGAGAGAGAGAGAGAGAGAGAGAGAGAGAGAGAAAGUUGUGUGCUAAGGGCUGAGACACACCACAACUGGAAACAGUUUUUUUUUUCAGUAAAUAACACAAUCUUGAGGUUCACAGUUGAUCAAAUAUCCUGCAACAAAGAUGUUAUGACAACUUGCAGUGAAUAAGCCCGAGGAUCGCUAUAGAACCCUUUGAAUAUUAUAUUGCUCCCCAGAAUGGAAACUCUAGAAGAAAUGGAUACAUUUCUACAAGCUUAUACAACCUAUCGAAAUUACAUGGAGAUUAUAAACAGUUUAGGCAGGUCCAUAACAAGGCUGAAGCACAAUAACAAGUCUCCAAAGAAAAGCUCACGACUGGAGGGAUUUGUUACUGAAAUCUACUGAAUCUUUUCAAAAGAGUUAACACCAAUGCUCCUCAAAUUGUUCUGUAGACUAGGAAGGGAGAGGAUGCUACCAAGUUCAUUCUAUGAAGCUAGCAAUACUUUGACACUAAAACCACAGGUUACAAUAACAAAAAGAAAGCUAUAGGCCGAUAGCUCAUGAGAAUAAGUAAGAAUAUUCUCCAUAAAAUACUUGGCAAUUAAAAAGGCAAGAAAUCAUAUAAAGAUGGUUUCAUUCCAGGGAUGCAAGAAUGAUUCAAAAUGUGCAAGUUAGUAAAUAUAAUAUCAUAUUAAAUCAAUAAGAUUAGAAAUCACAUGACCACCUCAAUAAAUGUGGAAAGGGCAUUAGAAAAAGUCUAACAUCCCUUAAUUAUAAAUGUCCCAAAGAAAUGAGGAAUAAAAGGAGCACACACAGCACCCCCAUCAAGGCACAUCAGACAAGCCUGCUGCCAACAGUAUGCUAAGUGGGGAAAAGUUAAAGUGCUUCAUCUAAAAUCAGGAACCAGACAGCACAUUCACUUUCUCCACUCCUCUUCGAUAGAAAAUGGAGGUCUUAGCUAGAGCAGUAAGACAAGAAGGGAAGGUGUAAGUAAGAAAGGAAGAAGUCAAAUUACCCCUACUUGCAGAGGAUGUGGUCCGCAACUUAAAAGGUCCUAUAAACGGCACUAGAAAUCACUUAGAUUUUAUAAACACUUUCAGCAAAGAAUCAAGAUAGAAAAUCAAUAUACAGAAAUCAGGAGCGCAGGAUCAGAGACUGAGGUCAACGGUAAUGAUGCCUGGUGAGCACAAUGCCCCUGAAUUUCAGUCCCUAGCACAGGGGGAAAAACCAGUCACUUUCUGCUUAUCAGUAAUG